GAUGAACGCUGGCGGCGUGCCUAAUACAUGCAAGUCGAACGCUGGAAAUCUAGCUUGCUAGAUUGAAGGAGUGGCGAACGGGUGAGUAAUACAUAAGCAACCUACCCACGAAGACUGGGAUAAUCUCUGGAAACGGGGACUAAUACCGGAUAGGUAAUCGGAAGGCAUCUUCUGAUUAUUAAAGGUUAAAAACACUGGUGGAUGGGCUUAUGGCGCAUUAGUUAGUUGGUGAGGUAACGGCCCACCAAGACGAUGAUGCGUAGCCGGCCUGAGAGGGUGAACGGCAACAGGGGGAGUGAAACACGCCCAAGCCACCUAGGGGAGGAAGAAGUGGGAAUUUGUGGGAAAGGGGGAAACCCGGAACGGAGCAACCCGGGGGGGGUGAGGACGCCCUUGGGUUUAAAAAGCUUUGUUGAAGGGAAAAAAGGGUAGAAAGAAAAUAUCAAAAGGAGGUACCCUCACAAAAAAGCCCCGGCAAACUCCGGG
rnacentral:rRNA from 1 species